GUAUCUAUGACACUCUCAUAUGCGUUCCUUGGGAACAUCUGAACAAAAUGAGUCAGAAUUCACUACUAUUUCCUCACCGACAGUGAAUUCC
ensembl:snoRNA SNORD116 Small nucleolar RNA SNORD116